CCAAAAAAUAAACGCAAUAACCCCGAUUUCCCUCACGCUCGACCGCCGCCUCCCCGACAGACGCGUGCAAGAGACUCGAAUGCGGGGAGUAUGGCGUCUGCGAGGUCGACCAGGAAGGGCGAGGCCGCUGCUCCUGCCCCACGAACUGCUCUCAGGCACUGGGCGGGGAAGUCUGUGGCAACGACGGGAAGACUUAUUCGUCGGAGUGCCACUUGAGAAUGACAGCUUGUUCCACUCAAGUACAGCUCCGAGCGCGACAUAAGGGCAACUGUGAUUUGUGUCUGGAUGUGCACUGUAAAUAUGGUGCCAGGUGCGAGGGGGGGCGUUGUAUCUGCCCCACAGAUUGUCCGGAUAAGCGAGAACCUGUGUGCGGAUCAG